CUACUGCUUUGUGGAUGUACAGAGGUCAUUAAUCUUCAGAGCCGGCAAUAAAACGGCAUUACCUUAUUGGUAUUACUUCAUUAGGAAAUCCUCAACGUUGGGACAUUUUUAUCAGUAUUAUAUGAAACAAAGGAAAGGACU